ACCCUGGGAUAACUCAGUUGGCAGAGGAUGAGACUCUUAACCUCAAGGUCGUGGGUUAGAGCCCCACGAAGGGCA